GACGAACGCUGGCGGCGUGCUUAACACAUGCAAGUCGAACGGAAAGGCCCUGCUUUUGUGGGGUGCUCGAGUGGCGAACGGGUGAGUAACACGUGAGUAACCUGCCCUUGACUUUGUGAUAACUUCAGGAAACUGGGGCUAAUACCGGAUAGGAGCUCCUGCUGCAUGGUGGGGGUUGGAAAGUUUCGGCGGUUGGGGAUGGACUCGCGGCUUAUCAGCUUGUUGGUGGGGUAGUGGCUUACCAAGGCUUUGACGGGUAGCCGGCCUGAGAGGGUGACCGGCCACAUUGGGACUGAGAGACGGCCCAGACGCCUACGGGAGGCAGCAGUGGGGAAUAUUGCACAAUGGGCGGAAGCCUGAUGCAGCAACGCCGCGUGCGGGAUGACGGCCUUCGGGUUGUAAACCGCUUUCGCCUGUGACGAAGAGUGAGUGACGGUAAUGGGUAAAGAAGCACCGGCUAACUACGUG
rnacentral:rRNA from 1 species